rnacentral:rRNA from 1 species
AGCUCCAAUAGCGUAUAUUAAAGUUGUUGCAGUUAAAACGCUCGUAGUCGGAUUUCGGGGCGGGGCCGCCGGUCUGCCGAUGGGUAUGCACUGGCGGGCGCGUCCUUCCUUCCGGAGACUGGCCCUACUCUUAACUGAGCGGGGUCGGGAAUCGGAUCGUUUACUUUGAAAAAAUCAGAGUGUUUCAAGCAGGCAGCUCGCUCUUGCAUGGAUUAGCAUGGGAUAAUGAAAUAGGACUUUGGUGCUAUUUUGUUGGUUUCGAACACCGAAGUAAUGAUUAACAGGGACAGUCAGGGGCACUCGUAUUCCGCAGAGAGAGGUGAAAUUCUCAGACCCGCGGAAGACGAACCACUGCGAAAGCAUUUGCCAGGGAUGUUUUCA